GUGGAGCUCGACUUUGUGUAUAAUUUUGUGGCCGCGUGCAAAGUUGUGCAUUCAUCACUGCAUUCCAACAAAACCAACCACCUGAACAAAACAUGGCUAAUUUUCUUACGCAAACAACCUUGUUAGUUUUGAGACAUUGAACAUAUAUGAAAUCACAUUAGGAUGCAAUGCACCUAACAGCUAAACGCUUCUACCCUGUGGUUGAACGGUUGCAUGUGUCAUCCCGACCUUAACUAGCUCUUCCAGUACGGACCUCUUUUCUUCAUAUUUGUUUCUCUCCAAUCACUCUUGAUUUUUGUUUUGUUUUUGUCGCUCUUUUUUUUGGAACUCUUUUUUUUCUUGUUCUUUUUUAUUAUUAUUUUUUUGUCACUCUCUUUUCAUUUUCACUCGUUUUUUUUUCACUUAACUUUCUUUCUUUUUUUUUCAAUUUUUUUAACUCAACUAAUUUUAUGGCAAUGAUCAAAUCCGAUGGAGAUUGCCUACGUAUCAUAACCCCGCAUGAAUCAGAUCUUGCGUAGUUCAGUGUAUUGAGAAUGGAGUAAGUAAGCUAACUCUUUUUUUUGGAAUUUAAUUAUUAAAAAUGCUUUAAAAGAAUAAAGGAGAUUUUUUUUGAUUUUUUUCUUUCUUUUUUGGAAUUUUCUAAAAAAAUGCUUUAGUUGGAACUAUCAGAAAAUAAUUUUUUUGAAUCUUUGAAAAUUGGUGUCGGAACCGAUGAGAUUUACCUACGUAUCUCACAUCUAGUGAAAAUCAGACCCGCGUAGUUCGGUCAAGAAAAAAACUAACUCUUUUAAAAAACAAGACUCUUUUAUUGACAAACACCAUUUUCUGGAAAUACUCUUUUUGUAUUUUCUUUUUUUAACAAACUAUUUAAAAAUGAAACUUUUUUAUUUUUUAUUUUCUUCAUUUUCUUGACCAAUAAACAAACCAUUUUUUUUUAAUAAAUUCUCUUUUUUUCAUUUUUUAUAAAGAUUCGGCAGAGUUUCAACACUAUUUUGACAUUGGUUAUUUUUGUAAAACAGAUAAUCAACUCUACGCACUCUAUUUCUCUCCCCCCCCCCCCUUUAUUUUACUUCCAAAGCCGGUCAGCAAGCAAGUCCGAAAUAAAUAAAUGCACGGAAAAUAAGUAGGAUGAAUCAGGAUGGUCUUUUCAUUUCAGGUUGCUAGUCCUAGACGGACAUCGUAUCGGGGAUACAGAAGCUCAACCCGGCUUUGCAAAAUAUCCGAACUUCGUUCUAAAAAUGGGACCGAAUCUAAACAGAAAGGAAGCCACACGAAGUGCACCCUUCUUCAUGAUUUAGAAGACUUAGAGAGAAAAUAGGGUUCGCUACAGUUUAUAUGUACAAUUCACCAAAUAUCAAAGCGGUAAAGUAUUUAGCGCAUCUAGCAUGAAACAUGUAGAAAAAUCAAAUAAAGCCAAAUAUAACAGUUAUUCUGAGCUCGAAUUCUUAAACCCUGAACCAAAGUUCUGGGUUUCUGAUCCCCAGCAAAGUCGCCAGAGCUGUCACACCUCCUUUUUGCGCACCUACCCCGAGGAAUAAAUGCAUAAGAGAGUCUUUUCAAUUUAAGUGGCAAUAUUCAAAAUGAGAUUAUUUUAUUUAUUUAGAGUCGCCACUUGGGAAAUGAUUGGCUUUUAGUGUCCCAAGUCACCGGUUUAUCUUGAAUACGGAUUCGAGGAAAAUAUUCAACUUUCCAAAUGAAGUCUGCGAACCAGAAAUUCUAAGUAAGGAAUUAUGUUGACCCGAGAGAAGGUGUUAGGCACCCCGGAUCCCGUGAUUCUAGCACGGUCGCUUAAAUUGUUGUAAAUGGCUAAAUAUAUGAUUUUAAUACAUGUUAUAACUUAUGUGCUUUUAUUUAACUUUAAACCGCUUUUAUCAUUAUAUUAAUAGAAUUGCAACAUCGUAAAAAUGCAUCUCGAACCACGUCGCAAUCAAUGCACCCGUGGUUGUUAAUACAUUCUGACUCCAUUGAGAUUUGGAUUUGGGUCACAUAAAUGCGCACCCGAAUUUAAGAAGGUAAAUUAUUAAAAGCGUGUCUAACGUGACUAGCGCGUUAUUAUCUUUGGGGAGGGCCAUGAAAUUCACUAAACGGCCCAUCCCGAAUUCUAAGUUUAUUUCAUUUGUUGAAGGCCCCACAAUUUGUGUAUUUUUUGUUUAGUGAGCCUCAUCUCACUCCCUUUUUAAAGGGAUAUUCAACUGAAACAAACUAAGGAUGUUCAGAAUUAUUUUCCUAAGCCAGUGAUUAUUGGAAGGCCAUGGAUUAUGAAAUUAACAUAUUUGGCUUUUCUUACAUGCUAUUUCGGACCAGAUAACAGAUGGCCUAAUUAAUUUGAAACAUUCCCCAUAGCCCAUGAAUCAUUCUUCCUCUUUAUUCUUUACUACCAAAUUAUUCUUCAAGAAUUAAUAUGAAUCUAGGCAUAUGGAAAGUUUUCAAACAUUAGAAUUAUAUAGAAUAAAGGCAACACAUAAAAUAACAAAUUAGUCUAACUAACAUGCUUCUAAACAAACCAAGCAAAUAUAUAUGACGGAAAAGAAAAAGAGCAACUAGAAAUAAGAAGAAGAAAAAAAAUGUAAAACAGUUGAUCAAUAAAUGAGAAGAAGAACUAACUUUUCAAAUUAUCAAAGACCUUUCUGCUUGGGAUUAAUGACGAAAACUCAAGAUGAGUACAUUGAAGAAGAGAAUACAUCCCUAUCUUGAAUGCUACCAAAACCAAUCGACCAAAGAUCACGGAAACCUCAAACCGGCGACCUCGAACGGAAUAGCGAACAAACCCUCGGAGAUAAACAAUCGACGGAGGACAGUCAGACCAGAACUCAACUCGACACCGGAAUGAUGACCUCAAACCAUUUUGAGCUUCGAUGGAGCUAGACUGGUGUGGUUUUCCGGCAGAGAUUGACAGAUGAAGCUGGUCCUGGAUGGGGUGGAGAAGCAGCAGCGGCAGCGUCUGGAAGCAGGUUGGAAUGGUGGUUUCACUGCUUCUAGUGGCGUCGUGAUAAGCUGAAGAAGAAAGCAGCAGCGUUGGUUGAGGAAUGGGGUCGUUGGGUUGAAGCUGGCAGUAGGUGGUCGCUGAACUGUUUGGUUCCGGUGAGCUAUUUUGGGCAGUAGGAGGUGGGUUCAGCUGGUUUCAGGCGAGGGGGAGAUGGGGACAACGAACUGGUGGACUCGCUAAGCUUCUUGUUGUUGUUGUUUUGGUAUAGGGUUUUUUAGAGGUUCAUCAAGAAGAGAAAGAUGAUGAAUAGUGAUAUGGGUCUUAUGUGUUGUCUGUCUCCAAAAAUCUGACCAAGAAGUGUGUGUAUUUUAAGAAGUUGAAGAACGAGAGGGAAUGGGUAAGGUGAAAGAUGUGC
rnacentral:lncRNA from 1 species